rnacentral:rRNA from 1 species
AUUCUGGUCCAGAAUAUACGUUGAAUAGAUACUUAACACAUGCAAGUCAGAGGAAAUAAGAUGUAUAAAAAACAUUAAAUUUAAUCGGCGUCAAGGUGAGUAAUAAUUAGGAAUUUAUCCGUAAAUAGAAGAUUAAAUCUUGAAGCCAUAGACAAAUUUGUUAAUCAUAGGCCCGCGUAGCGGGCCUUUAGUGGGUUUACGGAGAAGCUUAAUCAGGAUUAGGUAGUUGGUUGGGCGCCGCCCGCGCCCCCUUAGGGGGGCUGGGCGGCCCUAAAUUUAAUAGAUAACCAAGCCCAAGAUCCUUAGCCGGUUUGAGAGAAUGAUCGGCCACAACGGGAAUGAAAGGGCCCGGACUAGGUUUCUAGGCAGCAGUGGGGAAUACUACGCAACCUGUGAAAGCGGGGCGUGGUGAUCUAUUUGGAGGGGUUUAUGGCCUUUUCUCAAAAAAUGACUAUGUUGAAGUCAUUUUUUAAUAGUCCUUGCUAAAUCUGUGCCAGCAGCAGCGGUAAUACAGGUAGGGCUAACGUAAUUCAAAUUGAUUGGGUAAAAAAAGUUUGACUAAUGAAUGGAGUUUAGACAGGGGAUAAACGAAUGGCAAAUGGAAGAAUGAAAAUUAAUGAUAUUUGUUGGAAGAUCAACGGCGAAAGCUUUUAUCCAUAAAAAACUAACAUUAUAAAACUAAAGUCUGAGGAGUAAAAAGGAUUAGAGACCCUUGUAAUUCAGACUAUCAAUUACGAAAGAGAAAAAAGUUUCUCUUUUUACCUGAGAAGUACGAUCGCAAGAUUAAAACUCAAAGAAUUUGACGGGGAUUUAUACAAAAGGUGGAACAUGUGGAUUAAUACGAAACGCGCUUAAACUUACCAAAUCUUGAAAACUCAAAUAAUUAGGAAACCCCUAUCUAUUAAUUAGAGCCCGCGUCGCGGGCCAAGUUGAGAAGCAGGUGUUGCAUGGUUGACGACAGUUCGUGUUGUGAAAUGUUUGGUUUAGUCCUUAAACGAACGCAAUCUCCAGAUCGUAUUAUUUUACGAUUGACUAAAUACGAUAAGUAUUGGGAAGUGGAGAUUAUGUCAAAUAUUCAUGACCCUUAUGGUUUGGGCUUCACACGUGUUACAAUGAUAAGAAUAAUAAUGAGGCCGAGUUAACUCGGCCGGAAUCUUAAAUUUUAUCUCAGUUCGGAAAAUGGUCUGGAAUUCGAUCAUUUGAAGUAGGAAUCUUUAGUAAUCGUUUAAACUUUAUCACGGUGAAUUUGUAUUUGAAUCUUGUACACACCGCCCGUCACGUUUUGGAAUUUAGAUUAAUUCUCCAGUCACACCAAAUUAUUCAAUUUAAGAUAUAAUUGGUUUGUCCUAUUUUUUUAUAUCAAAAUUUGAGUUUCG